UGUGUAUGCCUCAUUACCUGUAAAUACAGAACAGGAGAGUUAGUUAUGUCAAUGUGAGCAGUAUUAGUCGUAAAGAAUGAAUACUUUUAUUCUCUCUUCUUUUAUAAUACAAGUUUACUUAGAAAAUAACCUUCCAAGAAGUUUGCUGGCAUGGUAGAUUUCUCAUCAAAUGUUUGUCUAGUCUAAAAUUUCACCUUCCUACACUGCCCAAGGAGGCUGUGGAUGCCCAUCCCUGGAGAUAUUCAAGGCCAGGCUGGAUGUGGCUCUGGGCAGCCUGGUCUGGUGGUUGGCGACCCUGUAUGUAGCAGGGGGGUUGAAACUCAAUUAUCAUUGUGGUCCUUUUCAAUCCAAGCCAUUCUAUGAUUCUAUGAUUUUAGACAAUGUACGUUGUGAACUCUCAGUCUACGUCACGCUGCUUUACCAGUUUUAACAUAAGCAUGAAAGCGUGUGUUGUUUUGGAUCCACCCAAAUUACUGAAAACAUUCUACUGAUUUAAUUAAUUCCUUGUCCUAAAGGGUGUGCAGAUGUGUUUCUAGCAGAGAAAUUCUGCUGAAGAGUGGUUGCACUUCAGUCGUAGGUGAACCGAUCAGUAUUUUCAGCUCUAUAAAGCUCACUGUAGAAAAGGAACAUAAAAUAAGUAUUUAAAUUAUUAAUGACUUGACAAAUGUGUUUUCUUACGCGUAGUGAGAAUGUGGAAGUUUGAUAAAUACGGGAGAUAUCACGAUAUGGGAGAACUAUAUUAUUUCAGGCAGUGCACGGCAAAUUAUAUUCUCCUUGAUAGGUUAUAAAAUCACCACUGUGAAACAAAGUAAAAUAAAUUACAGUGUUUCUGAGUAGAACUUCCAGUAAGCCAUGUAUCAGUUUUCCCUGAAUGAAAGAUCACUAGAAGCUCAAAAUGUUAUGAAGAAGCAAGUUCGGCAUAUGAGCUUUAGCAGUAAUAACCUGCCUGUUGUUGCAUAAUCCUCUUAGGUGGUGCAAGCUGGAUCUGUGGUUCAGCAGCUGAAUGAUAAUGAGCUGAGCAUCUGCCAAAAAGUAUCAUCUGUAACUGCAACCCGGUGUUCACAAAUUUUAGUGAUGAGCAAAUAAUUGAUUUCGGUAGCGUAACAUUUUCUUACGUGGUACUUGUGUUCAGUGCAGGCUUUCUGACGUGCUGCAGACUUCUCUCGAAGGUGUUUGUGACAAACAGUGCUAAAGAAAUUUGGAAACUGAGCUUCCAAACACAGAUAUUAAGUGAUGGCACUUAGAGCAAUCAGGUUCUGGAGUUGGUGGCUUCGUCAGUGCUUUCUCAGAGUUAACUCGGUUGCUCUUUGUGCAAGGAGCCUGGUUUAGCUCUAAACCAUAACACUGUGACACAGGACGGUGCUUUUCUUGUCUGCUUUACAGCUGUAUAAAUCCAAACAAGAGCCCUACAGUGAGCCAGCUUAAAUCACUGGAAAAUGAGUUCCUGCUAAUAAAAAUCGAUUAAUGGCUUAAAAGUUGAAAGCCAAUUUCUUAUAAAGGUUUGUUUAAAGUUGCACUUUUAUAUUAUGCUAUUGCAGUUAAUCUAAUCGGGAGAAAUGACUGCUUCCUCUCCUGAUCUUUCUAUUCCAGUAGAAAGAACAAUUGGCUUCAGAAGUCCCUGACCAGGUAUCACAGAUAAUACCUCAAAAUAUAAUUUUAUUGUCAUUGCUUCCACGUUGACCUUUUUUUUUUUUCUUUUUUUCUUUUAAAUCCAUCUGGAUAAGCUGUGAGGUGUUCUGGUCUCAGCUGUGAAGUUACCCCACAGUGUUUCUCAGCAAUGAUUAUGAAGAAGGGUACGUAAUCUCUUGUUAUCAGUAGUAGCACUCAAAUAGUGCAGAGCAAUUGUGUGAAGGAUUUUAGAAGAUUUUUGAAAGAAAUGGGAUGCAGAUAGACAUCCCUGGGAUUCACUAAGUAUCACCUGUUUCAUUUUUCUAUCAGUAGUGCACGGUGGUAGAAAUGGACUUUUAAAGGUAUGCUUUCUGAUGACGUCAUACGAACUAUUCUGGUUUAAAAUAAUAAUAACAAAAAUAAUUGUACCUGGCUAAUUGGUCUGUUACCAGCUGCUUCAGGAUGUGAACCUGAGAGUGUUUUUUAUAAGAUAGCCUCUCUCAAAAGAUGGGAGGUAGUACAUAAGACAGUAUUGCCCUCUGUUCUGCAGUUUUACAGUUCUAGCUGUCCAAAUCAAUCCUGAUACAAAUAAUUAUGUCUUCUCUUGUUUUCAAGGAACAUGUUUAGCUGCCAGGGGAGGGCGAACCCAGAGCAUGAUGUGAUCAAAACUUUGUAAAUCAUUGGCAGGUGCUAUGCAAGCCAUGAUUAUGAUCUGUCUCAUAAAAAUCAUCAGGGACUCAGUUUUUGCCAUGUUGCUGCUCCGGAAGAAGCUGCACAGCUGGCAGAGCAUAUUGCCCAUCACCUUGCCAGACUUGGCAUUUGAAAGUCUGCCAGAUUGCUUUGUGCUGUCAUGCUAGCCAUAGAUCAGCUGUAUGCGACAGAAUGAGGAUAGGAAGCAUUUUAUUUUUUGCCCUCUGUAGGAUCACAAGAGUUAAAGUUGCAUUUAAGAAGUCCAAUCUGCUUUCUGAACCUACUAGGUACUUCUGUUGCGUUGCCACCAGGCCAUAGGUUAGCCAGGUUAGCCCCUGUGCUGCAGAAAUCUAUACAGAAAUUUUGUUCUUGAUAUAUUCCAGUACAAUUUCUACUAAUAUCAAUGUUUGGAGUUACUCUGUAUGGACAGCUUUUCGUGUUUUAUGUAAUUUUAUUAUGCUUCAGUAUUUCUUUCAUAAUCUCCCUGAUUUUACUAAUGCACAAUAUUGCAAAUGCAGUGUAAAACUAGUCAACAGACUUCAAAUCAUUUGCGUAUCUCUAAACCUCUUAUGCUGAUUAAAAGUGUUAAGGCUAUUAGUAUUUUUUAUGUAACCUGGUCUAAAUUUAGUCUCUGUUACAGUCAGAAAACACUCUGAUAUUGCAAACCAGGAUCCUAAUCUGCUUCCUGUGGGGUUGGUGGCAGCAAUUCUUCAGCUGAGCUUUUGUGUUUUUGUCAGUUGAUAACUUGAAUAGAUAAUUCUUCGUGUUUAUCACAGAAAUUCUUGACUUUUUAUAGUUCUUCUUUCUUUUCCAGAAGUGUGUGUGGGGGGUGCUGUUGUCAAAUUGUUGUGUUAAAUUCUGUGCAGAGCAGGUAAAAGGAAAUAACUGGAGCAAAUAGAAAUCAUAGAUAUAGUCAAUAGCUUCCAAACUGAAUAGCUGUAAAAUACCAGAAUGACAGCCUCAUCCUGCAAAAAUCCAUCUGUUGGUUCAUUCUGUGUAGCCUGUUGUUGUUUUAACACAUUAGUUGCUGCUAUAUGGCUGUUUCAUAAUGCCACUGUAUAUUAAUGACAUUGCUUCCUUCAAUAUUGUGCACUGCCUUUGGUCAGUCAAGAGCCAUACUGUUAAUUUCACAUGUUCAUUAAUUUCACAAGUUCUGUUUCUGUGAUGGAUUGCUAUAGAAAGCCAGCUUACAAAAGGUAGUCUAGCUGUGCCUUGGUAGUUGAGGUAUUAGAACACGUAGUGAAGGAAACAAUCAGCUUUGUGUUCAAGGCAACCUUUGGGAAGAUGGAAUAACUUGACCAGUACUUUUGCUGCUAAUUAUAAAUAAAAAUGCGUGUCUUUAAGCUGAUGUGCAGAAACAGAUGAUUUACAUGACUGCUUUAACAUAAAAUUCAAGCUUACUCUUUUCAUAUAUGCAUACAUAUAGUUGUAUAUCCAAUAGUACAGAGCUUGAGUGCUUCACACUUCUGGUAGUUUUACUCCUGCACUCACAAGGCUAUUCAGCCAACGGUUGUGUAGGAAAGGAAUAACUUCCUAAUUAUGACAGUUAUUUCUUUGAUCUGUGAAUGGAAUUUUCCCUUGGUUGUCAGAUCACGUGCUCUAACAAUUUUGAAGUCAUCCUGAAGUAACUCUCCAACUCUCCUAACUAGUGGGGGCACAUUUUUUCCUUGACUUUGAGCAGCCUAAAGAGACUGUCUUCUUGAGAAUGGGGAGGGAUAGCUGCUUUGGUAUUCUUGGUUUGGAAAUAAGGUAUGGAUGGAGUGAAGAAAGAGUCCUUGACUGUGGAAUUUAAGGAGAAAUGACCAAAUAUAUGAUUUUCUCAAGGAGAUGAUACUUUGCUUUGCUUCAGAGGGCUAUGAAUAUCUUAUCAACUAUUACCUAUAAAACUAGGCAUGGGCUUAAGAUUUGGUUGGGGAGCCUAGACAGUUUUACUGGCAGGUCUUUGAGUGUGUUUAAGACUAUCAUGACAGAAGAAAAGAACGUCAAACACUUCGUUGAUAAGACCAGGUCAGUUCUAUAACCAGCAUCAGAAGGAGUUAGACUUACUUGUGAAUAAAACAGCAGAGCCUCUAGGUUUGGGUUUUAAGGCUACAAAAAGUUUGUGAAAUGUUUGGAGCUGGGUGCUUUGGCUUAAUUUGAUUUAUAAUUUAGAUUAUGGCUAAAGACAGGAUGAAGGGCUCCAGGGCUGCAAAUCUAAAUUUUGUUCAGUUUUAUGGUGGGAGAAGCUAGAAUGAUGCCUGAUGCUGAUGAAUACAAGUGACGUGGAGUGCUGUAGGCAAAUUGUGGGUGUUCUUGGCAACUUAUGCACUACUGCUUCCAAUAGCUGCAUUGCUCAGUUGACACUAACAACUAGAAGUUGCAAGACACUAUUUUCUCAUUCGUUCAUAAACUUUUAAUAUAUGUUGCACUCUAUUCACUGUCACUGGCCCAAAGAUUAGUCUGUAAUAUUUUGAAUAAGCAAAGAUACUUUUUCAUUAAUUCUCGAUAAUAACAUUCUGUCAAUUAAUAAUUCAUUAGAUCAAUCGCAUGCAGUGUGAUUAUAUGAAAUCUGAAACUAAGGGAAAUCUUAAUAGUUUAAUUCCUAAAUAUUGAAAAAUCUUCCUUGUAUUAAGUGACUUUUCUCAUGAUGAUUCACCUUUCUUGAAAAUCUUUGAGCUUACUAAAAUUGUUUCCAACAAUACGAAUGUAUACUUCUGUAAGCCAUGAUUUCUUGUUGCGAGUAUUCUGCUUUACCUUCUCUAUCUCUGAAGUGGCAGAUACAUGUGAGUCUCUGAACAGACUUAGCGAGUCUGCUAUAUACUAUUUUUUGCACUAAUGUAAAAUCUCUCCUAUUAGCAUUGCAGCCCAUAUCUUACUGCACAGAGCUUUGACUUCCUUCGUGUGACUUAUGAGAAAUGCUUAAGUACAAUACUGGUUAUGUCAUUUGGAAAAAUGUCAAGUCAACUUCUUGGCUUUGACUCCCACAUCUUCUGUCAUUGUCUAACAAAUUCCUAGCCCUGCAGCAGGUAACUAACUUAUGACUCUAUGUGGACAGCUGAGAAUUAUCCAGCAAGACAUCUUUAAUGUCUAGUAUGGUAGGAUGUGUCUGUGCUGACAGAAUGGCGUGCUUCAGGGAAGAUGUGGGGGAAAAGAUGAAACUGGUGAAGGCAGGCAGAUUCCUAUUUAAUUGUCCAAUAUUUCUGUGGAGUAUGCCAAAGGAUUACUUUCUGGAUCAUCAAAUUCACACUAUUUGUGAUUAAUGCCUUUAAUACUCAGUCUGUCUCCUCAAACACAGGGCCUUCAUUUCUGUGUUGCAUCUCUUCUCACUUUGAUCUGCUUUAGUGCUUGGAGAGAAGGGAGUUCUUUGCACACCUUUUAUGUUAACAUUUUCUUAGAAUUCUGUCUUUGCAUGAGGAAAACCUGUACAUUAAUUUCAGUUUAGUGAAGGCAGGUGCACAUGUCAGCAUAAUGAGCCUUAAAGAUCUUUAAGGAGACAAGUGAUUUGUGUAGUGAGGUUAUUUUUAGAAGGCCAACUUUCAAGUCAUGUUGAUUUAAUAUUUCUGAAGCUUUGUUGUCAUGAACCUUUGUAAUACUUAUCCAUUUUCUAAAACGGUGGUUAAGUAAAUGUGUGCAACACUAACGCAAGAUGGUUAGUUGCUGGUUGUAGCAGUUCAAAUGAUUAGAUCUUUACAUCACCAGUUACCUACCAUGGAAUUAAUGUGGAUCCGUUAGCUAAAACUGCCAUGCCAUAGUGCAAAGUUUUCUUACGACUUUUUGUUCAGGCUGCAAUUUCAUAGAACGUGAAAAAUAAAGCUUUUGAUAUCUUUCUGUAUGUGUGAGAAUUGCUACGUCAUGGCCUGAACCAAUGAUUGAGCACCUGGUGAAGGGACACAGCCAGCCCUGGGAGCACAGGUGACACAAUUCACCUGUGUGAGCAGAAGGAGUGCAGCCUGGUUCCACCCCUCCCUAAACAUCAUUUAAAAGGCUGGCUGCCUCUAGAGGACUCUCUUACUUGGAGAUCCCUCCUUCUGGAGUAUUCAGGGAGCCCUGAUCCUUGGGGCAGCAUGUGGAAGAAAAACAAAACCUCUGCAACAUUAACUGGGUGAGUACUUCUGUUCAAGGUGAGUUAUCUUGGAAGGCAGGAGUAGGCUGGAGCUGAAGCCUCACAGCUGAAAUGCUUACUGCCUCUUUAGUUGAUACUCAGUUACAGCCAAUGCUAUGGAAAUGAGAUUCUGAUACAUAUGCUAGUAAUAUUUCUCUUCCAUCUUGGUCGGCUGGUUGGGUGAGAACUUCUGUUGUUGCCCU
rnacentral:lncRNA from 1 species